rnacentral:rRNA from 1 species
UACGGAGGGGGCGAGCGUUAUUCGGAAUUAUUGGGCGUAAAGGGCGCGUAGGCGGCUGUACAAGUCAAAGGUGAAAUCCCUCGGCUCAACUGAGGAGCUGCCUUUGAAACUGUACGGCUUGAGGCCGGGAGGGGGUAGCGGAAUUCCCAGUGUAGCGGUGAAAUGCGUAGAUACUGGGAGGAACACCAGUGGCGAAGGCGGCUACCUGGACCGGUUCUGACGCUGAGGCGCGAAAGCUAGGGGAGCAAACGGG